UUCGGUGGCCAUAGCAUAGGGGUCACACCCGUUCCCAUUCCGAACACGGAAGUUAAGCCCUAUAGCGCCGAUGGUACUGCCGGGGGGACCCGGUGGGAGAGUAGGACGCCGCCGGAU
rnacentral:rRNA from 1 species